rnacentral:rRNA from 1 species
GAUGAACGCUGGCGGCGUGCCUAAUACAUGCAAGUCGAGCGAACAGACGAGGAUCUUGCUCCUCUGACGUUAGCGGCGGACGGGUGAGUAACACGUGGAUAACCUACCUAUAAGACUGGGAUAACUUCGGGAAACCGGAGCUAAUACCGGAUAAUCUAUUGAACCGCAUGGUUCAAUAGUGAAAGACGGUUUUGCUGUCACUUAUAGAUGGAUCCGCGCCGCAUUAGCUAGUUGGUAAGGUAACGGCUUACCAAGGCAACGAUGCGUAGCCGACCUGAGAGGGUGAUCGGCCACACUGGAACUGAGACACGGUCCAGACUCCUACGGGAGGCAGCAGUAGGGAAUGUUCCGCAAUGGGCGAAAGCCUGACGGAGCAAGGCCGCGUGAGUGAUGAAGGUCUUCGGAUCGUAAAACUCUGUUAUGAGGGAAGAACAAAUGUGUAAGUAACUAUGCACGUCUUGACGGUACCGAAUCAGAAAGCCACGGCUAACUACGUG